UACGUAGGUGGCAAGCGUUGUCCGGAUUUACUGGGCGUAAAGAGCGCGCAGGCGGUCGUCCAAGUCGCGUGUGAAAGCCCCCGGCUCAACUGGGGAGGGUCACGCGAUACUGGUCGACUCGAAGGCAGGAGAGGGUAGUGGAAUUCCCAGUGUAGCGGUGAAAUGCGUAGAUAUUGGGAAGAACACCAGCGGCGAAAGCGCGCGACUGGGCCAUUACUGACACUCAUGGACGAAAGCUAGGGGAGCGAAAGGG
rnacentral:rRNA from 1 species